UUUCUGGAAAAAGAGUUUCUCUCGAAAGAAGUAAGUGGGAGGAAAGUAGAACUCGAUGAAGUACUACCUCUUGAGCGGGAUAGUGACGCAGCACAGGAAACCAUUCCUGUGAUGCCCACACCAACUGAAGAGGAAAACCAUGAUAAUGAUCAAGGUACUUCGGAUCAAGUUACUGCUGAACUUCGUAGGUCCACAAGAACACGUUCCGCACCAGAGUGGUACGGCAACCCUGUCCUGGAAAUCAUGUUGUUAGACAACAAUGAACCUUCGAACUAUGAAGAAGCAAUGACGGGCCCGGAUUCCAACAAAUGGCUUGAAGCCAUGAAAUCCGAGAUAGAAUCCAUGUAUGAAAACAAAGUAUGGACUUUGACAGACUUGCCCGAUGAUCGACGAGCGAUAGAAAACAAAUGGAUCUUUAAGAAGAAGACGGACGCGGAUGGUAAUGUUACCAUCUAUAAAGCUCGACUUGUCGCUAAGGGUUAUCGACAGGUUCAAGGGAUUGACUACGACGAGACAUUCUCUCCCGUAGCGAAGCUAAAGUCCGUCCGAAUCAUGUUAGCAAUUGCCGCAUACUAU
rnacentral:rRNA from 1 species